ensembl:lncRNA
CAGGAAUUGGGGGCAGGAGAAGGACACAACUGAUGGAAAUCCAAUAGUCAUGCAGAGCAGAGAAGGAAUCUCAGUGACUCAGCUUUAUCCUCUGGAAGAAAGAAAUCUCAGAUCUCUCUCACUGCUCAUGCCCCCCCCCCCCCUUUAUUUUAUUUUAUUUUAUUUUUUUGUCUGAUGAUUCUACUGUAAAACAUGCAACAGCAAAAACAGGUGGAAAAUGUUCUCUGAGCUCCUGCAUUUGAGAAGCCAUUUUCCAGCUCUUGGCAUUCAUGCUGUUAAAAGAAGAGUUCCAGCUACCACUGGCAGGUUGGUAAAUCAUGUCUUUCUCUUUGGGCUUUUGUUGAAAGUUUUUGUUGAGGGAAGCAAGCAUGUCUCUAGGUCUUCCACUGUCUCUCAUCUAGCCUAUUUGGAAUAUAAUUAAUUUGUCACUGGUGUAUGUCAGUAUAAAGCUUAAAGGUCCUACAGGAAGAGGGUGCAAUUUCAGUCAAGUUCUGUCCUGUUUUCACCAAGUUAUGCCAAGACGAGUCGAAACAGUGUCAGCAUGAUAUUCAAAAAAAAAAAAAAAAAAAAAAAAAAAAAAAGUUCUCCAUAUGUAUUUUUAGGUAAAUUCAUGGGGUGACAGCAUCAGGCUGUAACUGGGUCUUCUGGAGCAGCUGAAACAACAAUUUUCAUCUCUUAGUGAAGAGAAGAACAGUAUACAUCUGUUCACUUAGAGCACAGGUUUCAGUAAGCAAAGGCCUAUAUUAUGAAAGGAAAUGAAAAAAGGAAGAAAGAUGAAUAUGAUUUUAUGUUUGUUCCUAACUUGAAAGUUUUACAGUUUUCUAAAAUGUUCAUUUGAUGUAUUCUUUGAGUCUUUGAGUCUCCUUAUGCAUUAGCAUUAAGAUGAAUGUUCUAGCUUAAUACUAAAAAAAAAAAAAAAAAAAAAAUAAAUCAUUUUUCAUUAUUGUUUCAAAAAGUGAGCAGUACUAAGAACCUGAACAAUGUUACCUAUCUAGAAACCAUGUAAACAGAGUCAAUCUGUCUUGGCUUUGUGGACAUUACACAAAAGAUGCUCUUCAACUCUGCAUCAUUAAGCAGACUAAUGCAUCACGUACAACAUAUUGGACCUACUGUGGGACCAUCGGAAAUAUAUUUUACUGAGGUUCAAAAUUCAUUUUUUGAUUGGAAUGAAAAAUCUUAUGAAAUUAAUAUUUUUUCCUAUAUUUAGGGUGAUGUGUGACCUUCGUGUCUUCCUGAGCAUACCAUCUGCAUAUUUCAGUAACUACAUAGGUUUUGGCAUCCUGCGGAGGAACAAAUUGCCUUUUUUUUCCCAACACGACAGCAGUUUUCCAUGGCAUUUGAGACAGGAGUUACCACUGUUGUAGGAAAUGCAGAAAAGGAAGAUGUUUGUCUUUGACCUGUUAGAUCAGUGCUCAGGUAUGUUGCAUAACUGUUUUUACAUGGCUUUGGUUCAUUGGUAGUUGUUGAUGAGAAAGCUGGUAUACUUUGAUGAUGCAUUUUGGGAUGACAGCAGGCAUUUGG